UACGGAUGGUGCGAGCGUUAAUCGGAAUUACUUGGCGUAAAGCGCGCGUAGGCGGCCAAGCAAGCAGGUUGUGAAAGCCCCUGGCUCAACCUGGGAAUGGCUUCCGGAACUGGUUGGCUAGAGUGCAGAAGAGGAAGGUAGAAUUCCCGGUGUAGCGGUGGAAUGCGUAGAGAUCGGGAGGAAUACCAGUGGCGAAGGCGGCCUUCUGGUCUGACACUGACGCUGAGGUGCGAAAGCGUGGGUAGCAAACAGG
rnacentral:misc_RNA from 1 species